CCGAAUUACCGCCUCUUCUUGCUCGACUUCGAUGGAGUUGCAAUCACAAAGAUGAACAAUCCGACCAGUGUCAGAACAGACACCAAUGAUCCAUAUUUAGCUAACAGCCUCUGCAUAUGAAUACGGUUCUCUUUAGAUGGAUAGGCUGAAGGACUAGAAGAUUUUGAGAACUAUGAUGAACAAAGCAAAAGCAGGAGACUUACCUUUGCCUAAGGAAAGUUGAACCACAGCAUGGCAGUUUUUGCAGAGAUGCCGGCACAUGAAAGUGCAAUUUGAGUAUCAAAUGGUAACGAAAAAGAAUAAGCAAAUGUUAAUGGACCAAAAUGGCAUGUGGAUUACUCACCCAUUCAAACUUCUUUUCGGGAGGCCUAUCAGCAAGAACGUCUAUUGGCAGAAUGGGGGUAGAAUAAGCUUCCUACAAAUAACAAAAAAAGAUCAUUCGAAGUUAGAAUAUCGGUGUGGAUUCUUAGUUUGAACAUAACAUCUUAGAGAGUUUACAGGAACUUGGAAAAAAUAAUCAAGCAUUCUAACAAACUUUUGAACAUUUAAUAACUUUCUAAUAGUAAUUCCCACAGCAAAAUAACUAAGGUUUCUUAAGCAGUACCGGAUACAUCCUUCUUCAUGCCCAGCAGCUUUGGCUAGGAGCCAAUAUGACGCACAUCAUGGACUCAGAAUCUAUCACCUAAAGAUUUUUUUCAUGUCGCUUUAUGAACAAGAUAUAAACCAUAC
rnacentral:lncRNA from 1 species